rnacentral:rRNA from 1 species
UCGAGAAUCUUCGGCAAUGAGCGCAAGCUUGACCGAGCGACGCCGCGUGCGGGAUGAAGGCCUUCGGGUUGUAAACCGCUUUGGUCCGAAAGAAAGGGCAACUUGAUCGAUCGGAGAAACAAGGACGGGCUAAGUUCGUGCCAGCAGCCGCGGUAAGACGAACCGUCCAAACGUUAUUCGGAAUCACUGGGCUUAAAGGGCGCGUAGGCGGCCGAGCGGGUCGUUAGUGAAAUCCCCCAGCUUAACUGGGGAACUGCUGACGAUACCACUGUGGCUCGAGGAAGGAAGGGGCAAUCGGAACUGUCGGUGGAGCGGUGAAAUGCGUUGAUAUCGACAGGAACGCCGGUGGCGAAAGCGGAUUGCUGGUCCUUUUCUGACGCUGAGGCGCGAAAGCCAGGGGAGCAAACGGGAUUAGAUACCCCCGUAGUCCCUGAGCGGGCUGGCAAGGCGCAU